GUUCCUUGGAAAAGGACAGCUGAGAGGGUGACACUCCCGUCCGCCUGGUAGAGUGAGUCUUUGUCAACGAGUCGAGUUGUUUGGGAUUGCAGCUCUAAUUUGGUGGUAAAUUCCAUCUAAAGCUAAAUAUUGGUGGGAGACCGAUAGCGUACAAGUACCAUGAGGGAAAGAUGCAAAGAACUUUGAAAAGAGAGUUAAAGAGUACCUGAAAUUGCUGAAACGGAAGCGAAGGAAACCAGUGUUUGUUGGUUCAUAUUUCCCUUGUCACUUGUGAUGUGGGCGCUGUGAGCUUGCGUGGGUUUGCUUUGGUUGAUUCCUUUGGAAGAGCGCAGUCAGAGUUGAUGUCU
rnacentral:rRNA from 1 species